rnacentral:rRNA from 1 species
GAUGAACGCUGGCGGCGUGCUUAACACAUGCAAGUCGAGCGAAGCGCUUAAGUUUGAUUCUUCGGAUGAAGACUUUUGUGACUGAGCGGCGGACGGGUGAGUAACGCGUGGGUAACCUGCCUCAUACAGGGGGAUAACAGUUAGAAAUGACUGCUAAUACCGCAUAAGACCACAGGGUCGCAUGACCCGGUGGUAAAAACUCCGGUGGUAUGAGAUGGACCCGCGUCUGAUUAGCUAGUUGGCAGGGCAGCAGCCUACCAAGGCGACGAUCCAUAGCCGGCCUGAGAGGGUGAACGGCCACAUUGGGACUGAGACACGGCCCAG